rfam:Dipodomys ordii contig_63054, whole genome shotgun sequence.
GGGAAAGUAGCUCAGUGGUAGAGUGCUUGCCUUGCAUGCAUGAGGCCCUGAGUUUGAUUCCUCAGCACCA